AAGCAUGCUUCAAUACAAAGCUCUGUAUACAAAGUCUGCAUCUUGUUACAAAGCCCCGUAUGCAAACUCUGCAUCUUGUCCUGCUUUUAGCGUGCCUCAUACUGAAUAAUUCGGCGAGUGCGUUUCUUGUAGAGAAUACGGUAACCGCACUCUCUGCACUGAAUGACAUCUCCAGGCUUCAAGGUGUUCUCCAUGCCACAAUCUCCACAGAUGUAGCUGACUGGCUCAGGUUGAGGAUCCAUGAGUUCAACACUAGGUUUAAUUCGAGAGAGAAUGAGAGAAAUAUAAUGAAGACUCGUUUUCAGAGCCUGGCCGGCUUAGGUUUAGAAUUUG
rnacentral:misc_RNA from 1 species